CCCAGUUUGGCUGGAGGAAGACGACAUGACGACGAACCAUCCGGAACAACCAGACAGACAGGCAGGGGUCACACUGUGAGUGACAGCGAAAGCAGGUGAGUAUCCCCUUCCCCCCCACCUCAGUAAAAUCUUCUGCUUUAUUUAUUUCCUUUUUUUAUUCAUUUAUUUAUUUUCAGGUGGGGGGUGCAGGCAUGAACGUGUGAAUAGUACCUAUGUAUUGUACUGAAUUAAGGAAGUGACAAAAAUCAGAAUUUUCAGGCAUCACGCCUUUAGUCUCCUUUGAUCCAGAACACCCUCCCUCCCGCCCUGAUUUUGGACUUGACUGAUGAUUGACAUUUUUAAGAAUCCAGGUCAGCGAUUCUGCAGAAUGUCCCUGGAUUUGUCUUGCCUCUUGGGGUUCCAGUAACGCUCCUUCCUGCCGUCCUUGCAGCCCUGGCACCAGCCCCAGGAAACUGCACUUCUCCCUGGGGCUCCCCACACCCCGUCCGCCUUCACGCACAGUCCCUUUCUUCAGUCCUGCUGGUGUUAUCUGGACUUGGGGGUGCCAUCUGUUCCCCUGGCGGGUACACUUUGAGUUGACAGAAAAUGCUGAUUCCUUAGAAAUGUCUGCUGUGUUUCACACUCGGCGUGGCCAGUGUACUGCUGUUGAUAAAUGCUCCUUGACCAGUCACCCCGUUUCACACUCAUUAUUUUCCAGAAAAAUCUGGCUCUUAUUCAUGUUUUAAAUUUCUUUUUGUUUUCCUCCGAUCACCCUAAAUUCCACAGCUUCUGCUCUUUGCGGAAUGCACAUCACAGCCGCGAUCUACUAUGGUUUUUUCUCUUCCUCUGCUUCCUGCCUGGAAGUGAAGCACUGUAUUGAUCAUGAGACAACAGCAGCAUUGAUUUAGAAGCCCCAGCCCAUGUCCAGGUGACCUUUUUUCCUCCCAGUAGCUUCUGGUGACAGAGUGUCCUAAGGUGUUUGCAUAUGUCACAUGAUUGCUUGUUUGGUCAUUAAAUACCAUGCCUUUCAAACGCGGAGGAAAGCUGGUCCUAGCUCUUCCCUUGGCCUUCGCCCCGGCCGCCAUUCCGGGGGUCAGUGCAGAGAGGGGUCGCAACUUUUGAAACUUAGGCUGAAAGUCCUCUUAUAGCCAGCCUUUCCUGCAGAAGCUUCCAGACACGCCACCGCUCAGGUUUUGUUAAGUCCCAGAUACACACAGGCAAUUGUGAAGCCAUGUCAUUGACACGGAGACCUGAGACAUUUUGUGUUUAUCAUUUUCCGGUGAAAGCCUUGUCGUAAGGCCAUCCCUAAGGGUAUGGCGAGGGCUUCAAUUGGACGUGACAGUCCGCAAAUCUGACUGCUCCGAUUUGCAUGUGACAUUGAACCUGCAGCGUGAAACAGCCUCCUGCACGUCCUUUGCAGAGCCCAUGCUGUGAGCUCUUCAGAUUAAUCGUAAUAACAAUGGAAUGCAGGGGGCGCCAGUGGGGCAGGUGGCUGGUGGGUUAGUCGUGCCAAGGUAAGGACUGGGCACUGCAGGCAGAGGGAAUGGUGAGGAUGAUUUGGGGAAAACGGAAUAAAUUCAGAACACCUAUGGGUCACCGACCGUGUGCCAGACUCCGCUGACUGGCGCUGCCUCAGGCGGCUACUUCUCGUUCACAGCCUUCCUGAGCACCAUCCUCAUUCCCGUCUUUGAAACCGAGGCCCUGAGGAGGUAAGGUCCAAAUCCUAGAACGUCAGCUAAUUCUCCAGCGGCUCCACAGAGCACAGGACUGGGGACUUCAGGCAUGCCAUCCAUCAUCAUGUCCAUGCCCUCUGGGCCAGGCACCCAGCCUGGAACUACCUUGGUUAGCAUCUGCUUCUCCUGCCCAGAUCAUGUCCCCAGACCAUGUCCUUGAGGGACUUUGCCUGUUCCUCGUCCCUGCAUGUCCUCGGCAUCUCGUCCUGGCAAACAAUAGGUCCUGACAAAUAGUCUGUCCCCUUCCUACUUCCUCGUCUAUGUGUCUGUUAGGUCUCCUCGGAGCACGGGUGGCAGACUGGCUCAAGGGUCAAAUCCGGCUGCCACUUGUUUUUAUGCAGCCUGGGAACUAAAAGUGAUGUUUACACUUUUAAGUGGUUGAAAAACAUUAAAGGAAGAAUUUGUGACAUGGGCACAUUGCACAAACUUCAGAUUGCUGUGCGGAAUGGAGAGCUUCAUUUACAUGUUUCACAUUUACAUAUCUGUCGGUUACAUCUUAUCUGUGCUGUUUUUAAACUAGGCUGCUGCCUCGAAUAGUUCCAGUGGAUUCCCCCUGGGCCGCAGAGCCUAAUGUUUAUUCUCCAGCUCUGCAGAAGGACCUUCGCCCACCCCUAUCAGAAAGGAUAAGCAGAACUUGCUCUGUUAAGGUGGCACGUGACUUUGAAGCUGCCCAGCGUCCCAGGGGGGCUGGAGCCCAAGGCUGUGGCGUGAUCUGUGGGAGGCGUGUGGGCCGGCUGUCACAGACAGUUUUACCUGUGCCUUCGAGCAGAAUCUUUGCACUUUUUCAGUUUGGGGCUCGCCUGUCACCUCGUUGGCCUCAGAAGCUCUGAGCCCUGCGUUUGCAAAUCCAUCAAAAACAUCCGCAGCCGCCCAGAACUCUUCCACCAGGGUCUGCAUUUCCUUCUCCCGGUCCGGUCCGGCUGUUACAGCUGCAUCAGCCGAGGAGGAGGGUCAGAGGACUGAGAAGUAACAGCCUCAGCACGAGGAAGUGCCCGGAGCAGGGCUCUCCGUGCUUUUACAGGCAUUGUCCUUUCUUAUCUUUUGGUUAAAAUCUCUUCUUGAAAAGGUAGGGACUUUUUAUUGUUCUCCUGUUUCUCCGAAGCUCUGAGGGGAGCCAUCUGCCCAAGGCCGCAUUGCCCUGGAGUCAAACAGCCUGGGUCCUGAGCAGGCGUCUGAUCCUGAGCUCCAGGUCUUCCCCUGGAUGGUGACAGGCCAGGCAUUCCAGCAGUUCUGUGACAGGAAAGCCCUGGGUAGAAAACGGCCUCGAGAGACCUGAGUGGCCGGAAGCGAGAUGAAGGAUGGGAAGAACCGCACGAGCUUCCUGCCGGCGAGGGGAUGUCAUUACUGUGCCGGAUGAAAACACCCCGACAACCCAGACUGUCUGACUCGAACUGUGAUUGUCCAGCGUGUCAGGAGCUGUAAGUUUAGCAGAAGUGACCAGACCAGCAGUGCCCAGGUGUCUGUGGAAUGUUAGUCCUGUGACCAGACAGAAGGAGUGUUGGAAUAAGUAUGGGGAGUGUUGACAAAGUGAAGCACACUUCUGCAGCCCUCCAGGAGCAGGCGGUGUACAGAGUAGUGACAGACGUGGGCCAGGGGCCAAGGGCCACCUCAUGGGACGGGUGUGCCGGGAGCUCUGGAUGAGGCUGCCCGCGGCCCUGCCUUUUCUCUCUGCUUUUCAGUUUACGAAGUCCCAAACACUUCAGGGACUAGAGGGAUGUUUGUGUCUUCUGUCGACCCACUGCCACUUCCCCCCCGCCAGGGAAGGAAUGUUCUAGACAGUGGGAAAACUAUUAGGAGAGGGUGUUGAAUUAACCAUACAAAGUUAGAUAGGGUUUUUUUUUCUGAGAGCCUUUCAGUGACGUCUCCGUGAAAAUCAGAGUAUAUUGGGAUCACAUAAGCCUUUCUCAAGGGUUGAUGUUUUCUAUACUUUUAGUUUGUCCAAACUUCUAUGUGUUGCUCAAGCAUCGAGUGAGACCCCAGAAUAUACAGCGUGCUUCGCUCCGGAUGGCACUUGCAGGACACACACGUGACGGAGAUGUGAGGACAGCAGCUUGUGGGCUCCCAUGAAGUCAGCCCGGGAAUGUGUGGAAUUCGCUUGUAGUUUUCAGGAAAUAAGACAAGAAAUGAGCCGUUUCUAUUCCUGGCGGUGCAUAACGUGACGAUGUGUGUCCUCACCCCGUGCUCACGUGGAAGUGGCCUGGUAGAAGCAGAGGGACCGCUGACCUGGGCGAAAGGUCCCUCCUUCCUCCUCGGGCGUUUCCCCAGCCCCCCGUCCUGAGAGCUGGUCACCCCAGUGAGCUUACAGUUACAAUCUGAGGCCAUCAGACUUUUUUUUUUUUUUACCUGAAGCUUCUUCAACUUGUACCUCGUUACAAGCUUAAAAACAGAGCUAAACUUAAAAACAGCCUAAUGUUUCUGGGUAGAUCAAACAGUGACUUGCUUUUAUAAGUGAAAAAUAAUUUGUUCUUAGUUCCUUUACGUAAAGUAUCAGGAAAAUAGAUACUUUGCAGAAGUCUUUUCAGAUUCAAGGAGGUAAGUGUUGAAGCUUCAAAACCCAA